rnacentral:rRNA from 1 species
UACAGAGGUCUCAAGCGUUGUUCGGAUUCAUUGGGCGUAAAGGGUGCGUAGGCGGCGCGGUAAGUCGGGUGUGAAAUCUCGGAGCUUAACUCCGAAACUGCAUUCGAUACUGCCGUGCUUGAGGACUGGAGAGGAGACUGGAAUUUACGGUGUAGCGGUGAAAUGCGUAGAUAUCUGGAGGAAUACCGGUGGCGAAGGCGGCAUCCUGGACCGGCAUUGACGCUGAGGAGCGAAAGCCAGGGGAGCAAACGGG